rnacentral:rRNA from 1 species
UACGUAGGGGGCAAGCGUUGUCCGGAAUUAUUGGGCGUAAAGAGCGCGUAGGCGGUCCGAUAAGUCGGCUGUGAAAGUCAGGGGCUCAACCCUUGGAAGCCGGCCGAUACUGUCGGACUAGAGUCCGGAAGAGGCGAGUGGAAUUCCCGGUGUAGCGGUGAAAUGCGCAGAUAUCCGGAGGAACACCAGUGGCGAAGGCGACUUUCUGGCCUGUUCUUGACGCUGAGGCGCGAAAGCUAGGGGAGCAAACGGG